rnacentral:rRNA from 1 species
CAGCAGCCACGGUAAUACGAAGGGGGCUAGCGUUGUUCGGAAUCACUGGGCGUAAAGGGUGCGUAGGCGGGAUCUUAAGUCAGGGGUGAAAUCCCGAGGCUCAACCUCGGAACUGCCUUUGAUACUGGGGUCCUUGAGUCCGGAAGAGGUGAGUGGAACCGCGAGUGUAGAGGUGAAAUUCGUAGAUAUUCGCAAGAACACCGGUGGCGAAGGCGGCUCACUGGUCCGGAACUGACGCUGAGGCACGACAGCGUGGGGAGCAAACAGGAUUAGAUACCCCAGUAGUCCCUGUCUCUUAUAC